UACGUAGGGUGCAAGCGUGUUCGGAAUUAUUGGGCGUAAAGCGCGUGUAGGCGGCCCGGUAAGUCCGCUGUGAAAGUCGGGGGCUCAACCCUCGAAUGCCGGUGGAUACUGUCGGGCUAGAGUGCGGGAGAGGCGAAUGGAAUUCCUGGUGUAGCGGUGAAAUGCGCAGAUAUCAGGAGGAACACCGGUGGCGAAGGCGGUUCUCUGGGCAUGACCUGACGCUGAGGAGCGAAAGUGUGGGGAGCGAACAGG
rnacentral:rRNA from 1 species